rnacentral:sRNA from 1 species
CUUUUUUUGUUGUUUUGU